GUAGGUGGCAAGCGUUGUCCGGAAUUAUUGGGCGUAAAGCGCGCGCAGGCGGUCCUUUAAGUCUGAUGUGAAAGCCCACGGCUCAACCGUGGAGGGUCAUUGGAAACUGGGGGACUUGAGUACAGAAGAGGAAAGCGGAAUUCCAAGUGUAGCGGUGAAAUGCGUAGAGAUUUGGAGGAACACCAGUGGCGAAGGCGGCUUUCUGGUCUGUAACUGACGCUGAGGCGCGAAAGCGUGGGGAGCAAACAGGGAUUAGAUACCCUGGUAGUCCACGCCGCAAACGAUGAGUGCUAAGUGUUAGGGGGGUUUCCGCCCCCCUUAGUGCUGCAGCUAACGCAUUAAGCACUCCGCCUGGGAGUACGGCCGCAAGGCUG
rnacentral:rRNA from 1 species